GGAGAUUGGGAUGCCCACAUUGUUCAUUUAGCAACUUGCACACCGUGGUUUCUGCUACAGGUGCAAAGUCCCCAGAGAGGGUGGUCGUGCUCGACCUGGUGACUGGGAAUGCAGUGACUGCAAGUUUCUGAACUUUGCUUCAAGGAGCCAGUGCAUGAAGUGCUCUAGCAGGAAAUGUGACUAAGCAUAUAUAGGGCACAAAAGAUAUGCACUCCUAAUAUUGCUGAGAGAUU